CUGAAGCAACAGACACCAGCCGUUCCAGUGGGCAGGGGGCAGUGUGGCCCUACGUUCAGGUGGCGAGUGAGGAAGCAGGAGCCUCUCUCUAGUUGAGGCCGGGUCUCUCAGAAGCCCCUCAUCUCCUGGCGAGUAAAACUGCACCAUCCACGCGACCGACGUCCCACUGUGCUGGUUAUAUGUUUCCUCACGAUUUAUUGGCUGACUGCUUAGCUACCAUUUUUAUUUUUACAAAUAGAAUUUAUCUUCAGGGUACAAUAUUUCAUUCUACUUUCAAUGCUUCCUCACUCACCAUACUUUCCAAUUUUUAUUUGAUGAUUUAGACGUCUCCACGCUGUGGGGACCCCAGGCUUGUGCAGACAUCUGUGGGAAUCCAAAGAUGGCGUGAUACGGAGAAGUCAGAAUGUGGCCAAGCAUCCUAAAUCCAUCGUCUGCGUCCCCUCUAGUGUGUUUUGUAUCAGUGUCAGGAAGAAUUAGCACUAACGUUUGGAUGUUGAUUUUAUCCACACCAGGAAGAAAAAGUAGCCAACGACGUUGUGAAGGAGAUACUAUCAUAUCCUUUAACAGCCCUGGUGAUGUUCGCUGCUCUGCACAGCACACGGUGACUACAUCCCAGAUCCAGAGCUGCGGAACUCUGGGGCCACGUCUCCAGCGCCGCAUUCGGCGGCACACGGAGGCCUGAGAAGGCGGGAGGGGUCAGUCUCUGGCUUCGAGUAGCAGCAAUACCAGGACAACCAUAGCUGAGUCAUGUCAAGAUGAACCAUAUGGCAUUACCAUUUUUUCACAGGUCAGGGCAAAGAAUACUGGUGAAUUCAUGGGUUUCAGCCUAAUUUAAAAUGUGUGUAUUCUUCAAAGUCUUUUAGGAGCUGUGGGGAUUAAAAGGGCCGGCAGGGGCUCAGAGCUCCGUUGGCUGGGUCUGGGGUCCCAGCUCUCAUCAGUGACAUCGCCCCGCAGCCCCAGGGCGGCCGCAGCACCCGAGCUUCCUCGGCUUCACAGGAGGGAAGUGCUCCCUCGGAGACAAAAUAUUUUUCCCAAAAGGAGCAAUUCAUCUACUUGGCUAUAAAUCA
rnacentral:lncRNA from 10 species